AGUGAACGCUGGCGGUAGGCCUAACACAUGCAAGACGAACGGCAGCACAGGAGAGCUUGCUCUCUGGGUGGCGAGUGGCGGACGGGUGAGGAAUACAUCGGAAUCUACUUUUUCGUGGGGGAUAACGUAGGGAAACUUACGCUAAUACCGCAUACGACCUACGGGUGAAACCAGGGGAUCUUCGGACCUUGCGCGAUUGAAUGAGCCGAUGUCGGACUAGCUAGUUGGCGGGGUAAAGGCCCACCAAGGCGACGAUCCAUAGCUAGUUUGAGAGGAUGAUCAGCAACACUGGAACUGAGACACGGUCCAGAAUCCUUCGGGAGGCAGCAGUGGGGAAUAUUGGACAAUGGGCGCAAGCCUGAUCCAGCCAUACCGCGUGGGUGAAGAAGGCCUUCGGGUUGUAAAGCCCUUUUGUUGGGAAAGAAAUCCAGCUGGUUAAUACCCGGUUGGGAUGACGGUACCCAAAGAAUAAGCACCGGCUAACUUCGUGCCAGCAGCCGCAGUAA
rnacentral:rRNA from 1 species